AACCACCUGGCAAUGGGUAAAGACACCUCGUUGGUGGUGGUGUUCUCAUAUCAGUCAGGGGCAGAGCAGAUGGCAGCCCUUUGUUCAUCCUAGCUGUACGCCUGGCUUGGUGGCCAAAGCUGUAUUAUGCCCAGGGCUCAUAA